rnacentral:rRNA from 1 species
GAAAGAGGCCCAGAGCGUUAGGCGGAAUCACUGGGCUUAAAGCGUGUGUAGGCGGGCCCGUAAGUGUCUUGUGAAAUCCCCCGGCUCAACCGGGGAACGGCUGGGCAUACUGCGGGCCUCGGGCCGACUAGGGGUUGCCGGAACAAGCGGUGGAGCGGUGAAAUGCGUAGAUAUCGCUUGGAACGCCGACGGUGAAGACAGGCAACUGGGGUCGCGCCGACGCUGAGACACGAAAGCCAGGGGAGCGAACGGG